CGCAGGACCCUCUGGGCCGCGCUCAGGGACUGCGGGUGGCGGGGCUGGGUUUGGAGCGGAAGGUUCCUCCGCUGGAGCUGCCGCUGGGAAUCCCUGGGUGGCAGGUGGGAAUGGCCACUUCCCACAUGGCCUCUGCACCCUCAGUGCGCUCCCUCACAACCUGACUGAAACCCUCCACAAGGAAUCAUGAGCUGGAACGGCUUCAGGUUAAAAUAACUGCAAGGGAGCGGUUGAGCAGAUAAGAGGUGACCUUAGGACUGUGGAGGUGUGGCGUCUCGUCACAGCUUUGUUUAGUGAUUUCUCUUAGGAAAUUAAAGUCAUCCUGCGUUCACACUGACAAGGAGUUCUGCUGCAUGAAUAUCCUCCUAGUGUUAGAAGAAAGGUCAUAUGAGGGGUUUUCUUUUUUGCAAGUAUGUAGCUGUUUUGAAGCUUAGGCAAAAUCCAGCCAGCCUUUGACACAUCCAACAGGAAGUUUGGUAUAGGCACUUCCAGGGGAAGAACGUGACCGUGAACAGCAGAGGCAAGCAAAGACAUAAAUAGUCAUCAAAGAGAUAUAAUUAGCCAAUGUAUAUGCAGUGUUUGAAAAAUGAAAAUAAAUAACAAUUCAAGUGGAGUUACUGCUAAGAGCAGCAGCCCUUUUCCUCAGAAGCCCUGAAUGCAGACCCAGUUGAACUCCAGUGUGUCUGUCUCAGCUCACGCCGCAGCUCUGGGGACGUGUUUUUCUCUGAGAGGGCUUUGUUCUACUUCAGAGUUUCCUUGGUUCAUUCCUGC